UCGGGAAACUUUGACAAAGUGAAAUCGAAAUGAAAGUCUUGUCAGUAAUUUUAUUGGUUGCUCUGUGCACCGUUUUCGCCUAUGGUCAGUUAUGCGGGUCCGGUCUUUACACUCAACCUCGGUGCUGCUCUAUUAUUGGAUUCCAAUUAUUAAAUGUCCAGUGCUAUGGCGUGAUUCAGCCAUUUUCGACCGUAGAUGAGUUUAAAAUGGCUUGUCAACAUCAAAGAGGCGUGGCUCAGUGCUGUAGAAUUGCGGUUGUAGGAGUUGCGUUACUGUGCCGAGAUCCGUAGUGAAAGAAGGAAGUAAUUAGUGCAUAACUCUCUCCUAGCGACGUUUAUUGUUGAGACGUGUAGGAAGUUUGUUUUUUGAGCCGAAGGCGAGGAUUACAUUCCACACGACUCAACACAAAAUAUCACAGCGAGACAGAACGGCUUUUGUUUUGCUUGCGCAACUAUUUUUUUUGUUCUUUUUUGUCGCGUGGUUGUAAUUUUUUUAAAUAAAUAAAUGAAA